GAUGAACGCUGGCGGCGUGCCUAAUACAUGCAAGUCGAGCGAACAGACGAGGAGCUUGCUCCUCUGACGUAGCCGCCGACGGGGUAGUUACAACUUGGAUAACCACCUUUAAAAACGGGAAAACCUUCGGGAACCCGGACUUAUAACCGGAUAAAUAAUUAAACCGCAGGGUUAAAAGUGAAAGGAGGGUUUUGCUUUCCCUUUUAGAGGAAUCCGCGCCGAAUUAGCUAGUUGGUAAGGUAACGGCUUACCAAGGCAACGAUGCGUAGCCGACCUGAGAGGGUGAUCGGCCACACUGGAACUGAGACACGGUCCAGACUCCUACGGGAGGCAGCAGUAGGGAAUCUUCCGCAAUGGGCGAAAGCUUGACGGAGCAACGCCGCGUGAGUGAUGAAGGUCUUCGGAUCGUAAAACUCUGUUAUUAGGGAAGAACAAAUGUGUAAGUAACUAUGCACGUCUUGACGGUACCUAAUCAGAAAGCCACGGCUAACUACGUG
rnacentral:rRNA from 1 species